rnacentral:rRNA from 1 species
AGGACGAACGCUGGCGGCGUGCUUAACACAUGCAAGUCGAGCGGUAAGGCCUUUCGGGGUACACGAGCGGCGAACGGGUGAGUAACACGUGAGCAAUCUGCCCUUCACUUUGGGAUAACCUCCGGAAACGGUGGCUAAUACCGAAUGCGACCACUCCACGCAUGUGGUGGUGGUGGAAAGUUCUGGCGGUGGAGGAUGAGCUCGCGGCCUAUCAGCUUGUUGGUGAGGUAAUGGCUCACCAAGGCUUCGACGGGUAGCCGGCCUGAGAGGGUGACCGGCCACACUGGGACUGAGACACGGCCCAGACU